rnacentral:lncRNA from 1 species
GAGCUUUAGAUUGAAUGGGUUUGGAUUAGUUCAAACAUAUUUGCAUGUUUAUGAUAAGUCGAUCGGGCGGCUGGAUGAUCUAGUCACCGGCUAAAUGAACUCUUGAUUAAUAUCUGUCAAAUUAUUAUCUUUUUCCAGAUUUCCCUUACACAUUUCUGACUUAUAGUUGUCAACUCGGUCAAAUGUGUAAGACUUUUUCACAAAAAAUUAAGCAAAAUCAUAUGUUUAAAG